rnacentral:rRNA from 1 species
CCCCUAGAUGUUCUGGGCCGCACGCGUGCUACACUGACCGGCGCAACAAGUUUAUUUCCUUGGCUCGACAGGCCUGGGUAAUCUUCGAACGCUGGUCGUGAUGGGGAUAGAUUCUUGCAAUUUUUGAUCUUCAACGAGGAAUUCCUAGUAAAUGCAAGUCAUCAUCUUGCGUUGAUUACGUCCCUGCCCUUUGUACACACCGCCCGUCGCACCUACCGAUUGAAUGGUCCGGUGAAGCCUCCGGAUUGCGCCAACCUCGUGUUGUGCGCGAGAAGCUGGCUGAACCUUACCAUUUAGAGGAAGGUGAAGUCGUAACA